rnacentral:lncRNA from 1 species
UUUUACCUUCUUCAGACGAGGUGAUGGAACAUCUCAGAGAGUGACAACAUCAUCACUGAGGAGAAGUUACUGGGCAGUGACAUAGAGAUUCUCCCUCUCUGGUAGAAGAGGACCUCAGUGACCACCAUGGAUAAAGAAGCAAGUCACCUUAACACUCUGUCAGAAGACAGGGAGGUGAGUGUAUG